GGAAUUGUUCACAAUGGGCGCAAGCCUGAUGACGCAACGCCGCGUGGGGGAUGAAGGUCUUCGGAUCGUAAACCCCUGUCGAAUGGGACGAAUAGCCUUCGGAUUAAUACCCCGGAGGACUGACGGUACCGUUAAAGGAAGCCACGGCUCACUCUGUUCCAGCGGCCGCGGUAAUACAGAGGUGGCACGCGUUGUUCGGAAUUACUGGGCGUAAAGGGCGCGUAGGCGGCCAUCUAAGUCAGACGUGAAAUCCCCCGGCUCAACCUGGGAACUGCGUCUGAUACUGGAAGGCUCGAGUUUGGGAGAGGGAUGUAGAAUUCCAGGUGUAGCGGUGAAAUGCGUAGAUAUCUGGAGGAAUACCGGUGGCGAAGGCGGCAUCCUGGACCAAUACUGACGCUGAGGCGCGAAAGCUAGGGGAGCAAAC
rnacentral:rRNA from 1 species